UACAGAGGGUGCGAGCGUUGUCCGGAAUCACUGGGCGUAAAGGGCGCGUAGGCGGCCUGGUAAGUAGGGGGUGAAAUCCUGCGGCUCAACCGCAGGGCUGCCUUCUAAACUGUCAGGCUGGAGCACGGUAGAGGCAGAUGGAAUUCCCGGUGUAGCGGUGGAAUGCGUAGAGAUCGGGAAGAACACCAGUGGCGAAGGGGGUCUGCUGGGCCGUUGCUGACGCUGAGGCGCGACAGCGUGGGGAGCAAACAGG
rnacentral:rRNA from 1 species